rnacentral:rRNA from 1 species
UACGGAGGAUCCAAGCGUUAUCCGGAUUCAUUGGGCGUAAAGGGUGCGUAGGCGGCGCGGUAAGUCGGGUGUGAAAUCUCGGAGCUUAACUCCGAAACUGCAUUCGAUACUGCCGUGCUUGAGGACUGGAGAGGAGACUGGAAUUUACGGUGUAGCGGUGGAAUGCGUAGAUAUCGUAAGGAAGACCAGUGGCGAAGGCGGGUCUCUGGACAGUUCCUGACGCUGAGGCACGAAGGUCAGGGGAGCAAACGGG